AUUGAACGCUGGCGGCAGGCCUAACACAUGCAAGUCGAGCGGCGCGGCGGCAGGGUGAGUAAUGCCUAGGAAUCUGCCUGGUAGUGGGGGAUAAAGUCCGGAAACGGGCGCUAAUACCGCAUCGUAUCAGAUGAGCCUAGGUCGGAUUAGCUAGUUGGGGGGGUAACGGCCUACCAAGGCGACGAUCCGUAACUGGUCUGAGAGGAUGAUCAGUCACACUGGAACGGAGACACGGUCCAGACUCCGACGGGAGGCAGGAGUGGGGAAUAUUGGACAAUGGGCGAAAGCCUGAUCCAGCCAUGCCGCGUGUGUGAAGAAGGUCUUCGGAUUGUAAAGCACGUUAAGUUGGGAGGCGUUACCAACAGAAUAAGCACCGGCUAACUUCGUGCCAGCAGCCGCGGUAAUAC
rnacentral:rRNA from 1 species